UAACCUGCCCAAGAGAUCGGGAUAACACCUGGAAACAGAUGCUAAUACCGGAUAACAACAGAUGAUGCCUAUCAACUGUUUAAAAGAAUGGUUCUGCUAUCACUCUUGGAUGGACCUGCGGUGCAUUAGCUAGUUGGUAGGGUAACGGCCUACCAAGGCGAUGAUGCAUAGCCGAGUUGAGAGACUGAUCGGCCACAUUGGGACUGAGACACGGCCCAAACUCCUACGGGAGGCAGCAGCU
rnacentral:rRNA from 1 species